rnacentral:RNase_P_RNA from 1 species
GUCAGUAGAGGACGCGAUCGCGACCCGGCGACGGGCCGAGGAAAGUCCGGACUCCACAGGGUACUGUGGUGGGUAACGCCCACCGGGAGUGAUCCCAGGGAAAGUGCCACAGAAAACAUACCGCCUGUGCCGCCCCGUGCGGCGCCGGUAAGGGUGAAAAGGCGAGGUAAGAGCUCACCGCAAGGAUGGUGACAUCCUUGGCAUGGCAAACCCCACACGGAGCAAGACCAAAUAGGGGAGGAGAGGCGGCCCGUCUCGCGUGGGCUUCGGCCCACACACUCCCGGGUAGGUCGCACAGAUGAAUGAUCGCGGGGAGGACCCGGUCCACCCAACAGAAUCCGGCUUACGAUCUACUGGCGAAC